CUCCUACGGGAGGCAGCAGUGAGGAAUAUUGGUCAAUGGGCGAGACUGAACCAGCCAAGUAGCGUGAAGGAUGAAGGUCCUACGGAUUGUAAACUUCUUUUAUACGGGAAUAAAGUUUCCUACGUGUAGGAUUUUGUAUGUACCGUAUGAAUAAGCAUCGGCUAACUCCGUGCCAGCAGCCGCGGUAAUACGGAGGAUGCGAGCGUUAUCCGGAUUUAUUGGGUUUAAAGGGAGCGCAGACGGGAGAUUAAGUCAGUUGUGAAAGUUUGCGGCUCAACCGUAAAAUUGCAGUUGAUACUGGUUUCCUUGAGUGCAGUUGAGGCAGGCGGAAUUCGUGGUGUAGCGGUGAAAUGCUUAGAUAUCACGAAGAACCCCGAUUGCGAAGGCAGCUUGCUAAACUGUAACUGACGUUCAUGCUCGAAAGUGUGGGUAUCAAACAGGAUUAGAUACCCUGGUAGUCCACACGGUAAACGAUGGAUACUCGCUGUUGGCGAUAUACUGUCAGCGGCCAAGCGAAAGCAUUAAGUAUCCCACCUGGGGAGUACGCCGGCAACGGUGAAACUCAAAGGAAUUGACGGGGGCCCGCACAAGCGGAGGAACAUGUGGUUUAAUUCGAUGAUACGCGAGGAACCUUACCCGGGCUUAAAUUGCAGACGAAUUACGAGGAAACUUGUAAGCCGCAAGGCGUCUGUGAAGGUGCUGCAUGGUUGUCGUCAGCUCGUGCCGUGAGGUGUCGGCUUAAGUGCCAUAACGAGCGCAACCCUCGUGGUCAGUUACUAACAGGUUAAGCUGAGGACUCUGGCCAGACUGCCAUCGUAAGAUGUGAGGAAGGUGGGGAUGACGUCAAAUCAGCACGGCCCUUACGUCCGGGGCUACACACGUGUUACAAUGGGAGGUACAGAAGGCUGCUACCCGGCAACGGGAUGCCAAUCCCCAAAACCUCUCUCAGUUCGGACUGGAGUCUGCAACCCGACUCCACGAAGCUGGAUUCGCUAGUAAUCGCGCAUCAGCCACGGCGCGGUGAAUACGUUCCCGGGCCUUGUACACACCGC
rnacentral:rRNA from 1 species